GGCAUAAAACAACGUCUCGACUGGCAUUGGAGUUUAAAUGAAGGUGUUGAAUAAGGAUUGUUUUCCUUGCUAAUCAGCACCAAUGUGACAUCAAAGAGCUAAUUUGACUGGAUAUUGACUCCAUUUACACGGGUUGACAAAGAUCUCAGAUUAGAGAAGUUACAAUGAGGGCCCAGGAAGAAUUAAUUUGACGUGCUACAUUAAUAUCUCAUCCAGACAUUUUCAUGGACGCCUCCAGCAUUUUGUUUCUUCAUUCUGGGCUGUACUAUACUACCUUUAACCUGCUGCCCGAUUGAGCUUCCACUUCAACGCAAAUGUAUGAGUGAGUUGAAGACCUACCGUAUGCAGAAAUAUACCAGACAAGAAGUUAAAAAUAGUCGAUCAAAAAGUAUAUAGCUUGCCCAAUGACUGAUAUUACGACGAAAAGCGCUUGAAGAUCCAUAAUGAGACAAUUUAGUAUGGAUGUUUUGCUUUUGUACUACAAUUUAAGGGAGCACUUGAUAUUAUAAAUCAGUCCAUUUCAACGCUAGCUAAUCGUCGCUUUACCUUUUCAAUGGAUUCUCUGGUUGUAAGGAUGGGAAAAAAAGUCCUAAAUUCAAGUAAGAAAAAAAGUUCUGAUAGACGAGAUGCUUUUCUUGUAAUUCUUUAAAACUGUGAUCGCUCAUAACAUCUAACAUACGCUCGAGCCCUGCCUUUCCUCGUAAUUCUAUACGCCUGGGAGGGCACUGGUAAAUCUUUGCUUGGCUGACGAAAAGGCGUAACUACAAUUUGAGAUGAGCUCGAAAAGGCAUUGGGUUACAUGGACAACAGAGUUCAUCGUCAAGUUUAGUACGCUCAUGUGUUAGGAAGGCGACGAAAUGGUCUCAGAGCUGGUGGUUGUCAGCAUAAAAAACAAGACAGAGAAUGAGGUAUUGUGCUGGGGUAAAAUCACUGUCUUGGUAAAAGGAGGUCAUUCAUAUUCAAAAAAAGGAUGAAUACUAUGAAUUCGACUACUUUUUCUCUUUGGUUAUACAUACCUACACAAGGGAGAACAAAUAAGGAUCUUUACAACGUUGACCAGGCAUCAACAGCCGAUGCUCGCUAAAAUAUUUCACAUCCAUACUUAAAGACUGCAUGAGUGGCCGUCCAAGCAGGUAAAGUGGAUUCCAGUCUACAAGGGCUAAAUUUUUAGUCAAUUUCAGUUCAGAAAGUCGAAUCAGUAUUUUCAAAAAAUUUUAAGGAGGUAUUUUGGUAGGAGUACUUCUGAAAAAUUGAGGCAUUAUCGGAGAUUUUUAAAAUACGCAAUUUCUGCCGCCAUGCACUUGCACCUGUAUGGACCUCUAAAAUCUACUUUUUAUAUAAUGUCCUUAUCUUCCUUGGAUCAAAUAAUUAAAUUCUGUAUUCAAUAUUCUCUGGGCUCACCAUCAAUAAUCACUUGUGACUUGUAACUUUUGUAAUACAUGUAUUCUGUUAUUUCCUCAAUACACAUAGCCGAAAUAAUACAAACGUAA